CUCAGGAUGAACGCUAGCUACAGGCUUAACACAUGCAAGUCGAGGGGCAGCAUGGUCUUAGCUUGCUAAGGCCGAUGGCGACCGGCGCACGGGUGAGUAACACGUAUCCAACCUGCCGUCUACUCUUGGACAGCCUUCUGAAAGGAAGAUUAAUACAAGAUGGCAUCAUGAGUCCACAUGUUCACAUGAUUAAAGGUAUUCCGGUAGACAAUGGGGAUGCGUUCCAUUAGAUAGUAGGCGGGGUAACGGCCCACCUAGUCUUCGAUGGAUAGGGGUUCUGAGAGGAAGGUCCCCCACAUUGGAACUGAGACACGGUCCAAACUCCUACGGGAGGCAGCAGUGAGGAAUAUUGGUCAAUGGGCGAGAGCCUGAACCAGCCAAGUAGCGUGAAGGAUGACUGCCCUAUGGGUUGUAAACUUCUUUUAUAAAGGAAUAAAGUCGGGUAUGGAUACCCGUUUGCAUGUACUUUAUGAAUAAGGAUCGGCUAACUCCGUGUCAGCAGCCGCGGUAAUACGGAGGAUCCGAGCGUUAUCCGGAUUUAUUGGGUUUAAAGGGAGCGUAGAUGGAUGUUUAAGUCAGUUGUGAAAGUUUGCGGCUCAACCGUAAAAUUGCAGUUGAUACUGGAUAUCUUGAGUGCAGUUGAGGCAGGCGGAAUUCGUGGUGUAGCGGUGAAAUGCUUAGAUAUCACGAAGAACUCCGAUUGCGAAGGCAGCCUGCUAAGCUGCAACUGACAUUGAGGCUCGAAAGUGUGGGUAUCAAACAGGAUUAGAUACCCUGGUAGUCCACACGGUAAACGAUGAAUACUCGCUGUUUGCGAUAUACAGCAAGCGGCCAAGCGAAAGCGUUAAGUAUUCCACCUGGGGAGUACGCCGGCAACGGUGAAACUCAAAGGAAUUGACGGGGGCCCGCACAAGCGGAGGAACAUGUGGUUUAAUUCGAUGAUACGCGAGGAACCUUACCCGGGCUUAAAUUGCAGAUGAAUUACGGUGAAAGCCGUAAGCCGCAAGGCAUCUGUGAAGGUGCUGCAUGGUUGUCGUCAGCUCGUGCCGUGAGGUGUCGGCUUAAGUGCCAUAACGAGCGCAACCCUUGUUGUCAGUUACUAACAGGUUCCGCUGAGGACUCUGACAAGACUGCCAUCGUAAGAUGUGAGGAAGGUGGGGAUGACGUCAAAUCAGCACGGCCCUUACGCCCGGGGCUACACACGUGUUACAAUGGGGGGUACAGAGGGCCGCUACCACGCGAGUGGAUGCCAAUCCCAAAAACCUCUCUCAGUUCGGACUGGAGUCUGCAACCCGACUCCACGAAGCUGGAUUCGCUAGUAAUCGCGCAUCAGCCACGGCGCGGUGAAUACGUUCCCGGGCCUUGUACACACCGCCCGUCAAGCCAUGGGAGCCGGGGGUACCUGAAGUGCGUAACCGCGAGGAGCGCCCUAGGGU
rnacentral:rRNA from 1 species